rnacentral:rRNA from 1 species
CAGGACGAACGCUGGCGGCGUGCCUAAUACAUGCAAGUCGAGCGAAUGAUUAGAGAAGCUUGCUUCUCUCUGAUUUAGCGGCGGACGGGUGAGUAACACGUGGGUAACCUACCCUAUAGACUGGGAUAACUUCGGGAAACCGGAGCUAAUACCGGAUAAUACUUCGAAACACAUGUUUUGAAGUUGAAAGAUGGUUUCGGCUAUCACUAUAGGAUGGACCCGCGGCGCAUUAGCUAGUUGGUGAGGUAACGGCUCACCAAGGCAACGAUGCGUAGCCGACCUGAGAGGGUGAUCGGCCACACUGGGACUGAGACACGGCCCAGACUCCUACGGGAGGCAGCAGUAGGGAAUCUUCCACAAUGGACGAAAGUCUGAUGGAGCAACGCCGCGUGAGUGAAGAAGGAUUUCGGUUCGUAAAACUCUGUUGCAAGGGAAGAACAAGUAGCGUAGUAACUGGCGCUACCUUGACGGUACCUUGUUAGAAAGCCACGGCUAACUACGUGCCAGCAGCGGC